CAGUCGCCGCGGGAAUACAGAGGGUGCGAGCGUUAAUCGGAUUUACUGGGCGUAAAGCGUGCGUAGGCGGCUUUUUAAGUCGGAUGUGAAAUCCCUGAGCUUAACUUAGGAAUUGCAUUCGAUACUGGGAAGCUAGAGUAUGGGAGAGGAUGGUAGAAUUCCAGGUGUAGCGGUGAAAUGCGUAGAGAUUUGGAGGAAUACCGAUGGCGAAGGCAGCCAUCUGGCCUAAUACUGACGCUGAGGUACGAAAGCAUGGGGAGCAAACAGGAUUAGAUACCCCGGUAGUCCCUGUCUCUUAUAC
rnacentral:rRNA from 1 species